GAUCAUGGCUACAGGACGAACGCUGGCGGCAUGCCUAACACAUGCAAGUCGAACGGAGAUUAUUUCGGUAAUCUUAGUGGCGAACGGGUGAGUAACGCGUAGACAACCUGCCUUUGAGAUGGGGACAACAGUCCGAAAGGACUGCUAAUACCGAAUGUUGUGGAACUUCCGCAUGGAAGCUUCACCAAAGAUGACCUCUUCCUGAAAGUUAUCGCUCAAAGAUGGGUCUGCGUCUGAUUAGCUAGUUGGCGGGGCAACGGCCCACCAAGGCAACGAUCAGUAGGGGUUCUGAGAGGAAAGCCCCCCACAUUGGAACUGAGAGACGGUCCAGACUCCUACGGGAGGCAGCAGUGGGGAAUAUUGGGCAAUGGGCGAAAGCCUGACCCAGCAACGCCGCGUGAGGGAAGAAGGGUUUCGGCUCGUAAACCUCUGUCCUAUGGGACGAAGGAAGUGACGGUACCAUAGGAGGAAGCCCCGGCUAACUACGUG
rnacentral:rRNA from 1 species